CCGAAUAACUUAUUGUUGGGGGUGGGGGCGUCUUCUUGAAAUAUCACAGCGUGUCCAACGCGGAUUUGCAUCUACGCUUGAUACUCAAGGCGGAUCUCCUCCUCAAGUAGGCAGGAAGCACCAUCCUGGAUCGCGCGCCCUUGUCCAGCUAAGGCUGCCGAUCUACCAGGUCGCUUUCGGAUUCCUUCCUUCGGCAAACGGGAGUGAUCAAACGCCGGGAAGAAAGGCUGGGGAGAUGCUCAACAAGAUCAACCGGGAGAGGGCUGCUCGAUGAAGGAGGGAGAGCAAUUCAACCAAAAACUAAGGACUUCUGUAGCCCAUUGAUUUCAGAGAAGACUUUAACCCUAUGCUUGAUUUCUCCAUGAAAACCAGUGAACCACA